rnacentral:tRNA from 1 species
AGGAUUUUAGUUAAAAAUAUAACAUUUAAAUUGCACUUAAAAAUUAUAUAUUAAUUUAAUAUAUAAAUCUUA